rnacentral:rRNA from 1 species
GAUGAACGCUAGCGGCAGGCUUAACACAUGCAAGUCGAGGGGCAGCACAGGUAGCAAUACUGGGUGGCGACCGGCAAACGGGUGCGGAACACGUACACAAUCUACCUUUAUCUGGGGCAUAGCCCGGAGAAAUCCGGAUUAACUCCCCAUAAUAUAUACGAGUGGCAUCACUUGAAUAUUAAAUCUCCGGAGGAUAGAGAUGAGUGUGCGUCCCAUUAGCUAGUUGGUAGGUAACGGCCUACCAAGGCGACGAUGGGUAGCUGGUGUGAGAGCACGACCAGCCACACGGGCACUGAGACACGGGCCCGACUCCUACGGGAGGCAGCAGUGAGGAAUAUUGGUCAAUGGACGCAAGUCUGAACCAGCCAUGCCG